rnacentral:rRNA from 1 species
UUUUUAUGAGAGUUUGAUCCUGGCUCAGGACGAACGCUGGCGGCGUGCCUAAUACAUGCAAGUCGAACGCUUCUUUUUCCACCGGAGCUUGCUCCACCGGAAAAAGAAGAGUGGCGAACGGGUGAGUA